rnacentral:rRNA from 1 species
AUGAAGUUCACCUAUGUGUUGGCUAGCUGGGAAGGGUCAACACAUGAUGCUAACAUUCUCAAUGACAGCAUGAGUCGUCCUGAUGGCAUCAACAUCCCCAAUGGCAAGUUCGACCUAGGAGAUGUUGGCUAUGCAUGUCGGCCAAGUAUUCUUCCACCCUUCAGGAAAAUCAGGUACCAUCUGAACGAGUUCAUUGGUAGGAACUAUCCUAGGACUCCAUAG